CAUGCAAGUCGAGCGGAUGACAGGAGCUUGCUCCUGGAUUCAGCGGCGGACGGGUGAGUAAUGCCUAGGAAUCUGCCUGGUAGUGGGGGACAACGUUUCGAAAGGAACGCUAAUACCGCAUACGUCCUACGGGAGAAAGCAGGGGACCUUCGGGCCUUGCGCUAUCAGAUGAGCCUAGGUCGGAUUAGCUAGUUGGUGAGGUAAUGGCUCACCAAGGCGACGAUCCGUAACUGGUCUGAGAGGAUGAUCAGUCACACUGGAACUGAGACACGGUCCAGACUCCUACGGGAGGCAGCAGUGGGGAAUAUUGGACAAUGGGCGAAAGCCUGAUCCAGCCAUGCCGCGUGUGUGAAGAAGGUCUUCGGAUUGUAAAGCACUUUAAGUUGGGAGGAAGGGCAGUAAAUUAAUACUUUGCUGUUUUGACGUUACCGACAGAAUAAGCACCGGCUAACUCUGUGCCAGCAGCCGCGGUAAUACAGAGGGUGCAAGCGUUAAUCGGAAUUACUGGGCGUAAAGCGCGCGUAGGUGGUUUGUUAAGUUGGAUGUGAAAUCCCCGGGCUCAACCUGGGAACUGCAUUCAAAACUGACAAGCUAGAGUAUGGUAGAGGGUGGUGGAAUUUCCUGUGUAGCGGUG
rnacentral:rRNA from 1 species